CUGUUCCUAAGCACAGUGAAAUGACGGAAAUGCCCUCUCUUUUUACUGUUUUGCAAACUCAUUUUUCUCAUCAGCACAGUGAAAUCACGGUUUGCCCUUGAUUAAUUAGUUUCUGCUCUUCCCCGUUUUGCCCCCCCUCUCCUUCGAUUGUAACGACUUGGAGCCUUCGUUCUAUCUGAUGCUGAGUUCGUUUCUAACCAGGUUGGUUGGCCUGGUUGCGGGGCAAUGAUGGAAGAGGUCGGUUUACUGUUGGAGAUUAUCUGGAGGCUUCGAUUUUUAUAGGAGUGGUGUGCAUUGGUCUUCUUCUUCAUAUCGAACUCCAGCUCUCUCUCUGUUUCAAUCUCUUUCUCUAAUUCUCAGACAUGGGUACUUUCAAGCCAUCUUUCCAGCUGCGCUUCAUCCUUCUUCUCAUCGCACGGGUUUAGCUCAAAGGGAUUUCUAGGUUUCGAAAAAAAAGGGAGGAAGAUCUAAGGAAAAAGAACUGGAGUAAUCAAUAUGCUGCUCAUCAAUCUGCAUUCCUCAACCUCACUCUUCCUGGCCAACAUCCCAACCCGGAAGUUGUUGUUCAAGAAGUUCAUAGGAAGGUUUAUGCUUCUUUGGCAAGAAGGCAAAUGCUGCAAGGAACCCAAAAAUACUAGGACUCUUCAUGCCUAACCGAAAACCCAAUAGAUGACUGUUGGGAAUGUGACCCAAAUUGGCCAGACAACAGGCAGAGCUUAGCAGAUUGUGCAAUUGGGUUUGGCCAAUAUGCUCUUGGAGGCAAAGGUGGUGAGUAUUAUAUUGUCACAGACUCUUCUAAUGAUGAUGCUGUGAAUCCAAGGCCAGGCACUCUGAGAUAUGCUGUGAUACAGACUGAGCCUCUCUGGAUUGUGUUCCCUGGCAACAUGCUCAUCAAGCUCUCCCAAGAGCUCAUCUUCAACAGCUGCAAGACCCUUGAUUGCCGUGGAGCCAAUGUCCACAUUGUGGGUUGUGGCUGCAUCACAUGGCAGUACAUAAGCAAUGUCAUCAUCCACAAUGUGCAUAUCCACCACUGUUAUCCGUCAGGAUUGAUAAUCAUACAAGCCGAUUUCAAUCCCUCUUUCGUGUAUCAGCCCUCAUAAAGAUGACAUUUAUAUGCUUUUGUUGAAGAACUUUACGAAAUAUUCAUUACAUUUUUGUGUUGUUUUACCCCACAUUGUAUCUCAGUAUCUUCUUGAAGAUGUUGCUUUGGAGCCCAAAUGGUUGAAUAAAAUCCCCGUAGUAAUGUGUUGAUUCAUGCAGUUGACAAACUCAGGAGCUUCUUAAGGCAACUUCCUCUUUUUUCAAAUGCUUUUCUGGUUGGUGGUGCAGAAGACUUCUUUAUCAUUGAACUUGCAGAUCAGGUGGAUAUUUUCUUUACUGGUCAGCUUCAAAAACUGAAGGUGGAACCAGCACAUAAAACUUCUCCGGGGUAAUAUUCUAACCAAUUUUUAGGUUUAAGAUUUAAGGCAUCAUGUGAACUUGGUAUUAUGGUGGCUUCAG